GUAGGUUAUGGUGACAUGGCGCCCAAGACGUAUGUUGGUAUGUUUGUCGGAGCUUUGUGUGCACUGGCAGGUGUGCUUACGAUAGCUUUACCCGUACCCGUUAUAGUUUCCAAU
rfam:Asian citrus Psyllid, Diaphorina citri - Florida Strain, whole genome shotgun sequence.